UAAGUAUAAGCAAUUUAUACAGUGAAACUGCGAAUGGCUCAUUAAAUCAGAAAUCGUUUAUUUGAUAGUACCUUACUACUUGGAUAACCGUGGUAAUUCUAGAGCUAAUACAUGCUUAAAAUCCCGACUGUUUGGAAGGGAUGUAUUUAUUAGAUAAAAAAUCAAUGCCUUCGGGCUCUUUGAUGAUUCAUAAUAACUUUUCGAAUCGCAUGGCCUUGUGCUGGCGAUGGUUCAUUCAAAUUUCUGCCCUAUCAACUUUCGAUGGUAGGAUAGUGGCCUACCAUGGUUUCAACGGGUAACGGGGAAUAAGGGUUCGAUUCCGGAGAGGGAGCCUGAGAAACGGCUACCACAUCCAAGGAAGGCAGCAGGCGCGCAAAUUACCCAAUCCCGACACGGGGAGGUAGUGACAAUAAAUAACGAUACAGGGCCCUUUUGGGUCUUGUAAUUGGAAUGAGUACAAUGUAAAUACCUUAACGAGGAACAAUUGGAGGGCAAGUCUGGUGCCAGCAGCCGCGGUAAUUCCAGCUCCAAAAGCGUAUAUUAAAGUUGUUGCAGUUAAAAAGCUCGUAGUUGAACCUUGGGCUUGGCUGGCCGGUCCAUCUUUUUGAUGCGUACUGGACCCAGCCGAGCCUUUCCUUCUGGGUAGCCAUUUAUGGCGAACCAGGACUUUUACUUUGAAAAAAUUAGAGUGUUCAAAGCAGGCCUUUGCUCGAAUAUAUUAGCAUGGAAUAAUAGAAUAGGACGUUAUGGUUCUAUUUUGUUGGUUUCUAGGACCAUCGUAAUGAUUAAUAGGGACGGUCGGGGGUAUCAGUAUUCAGUUGUCAGAGGUGAAAUUCUUGGAUUUACUGAAGACUAACUACUGCGAAAGCAUCUUACCAAGGACGUUUUCAUUAAUCAAGAACGAAAGUUAGGGGAUCGAAGAUGAUCUGAUACCGUCGUAGUCUUAACCAUAAACUAUGCCGACUAGGGAUCGGUUGUUGUUUUUUUAUUGACGCAACCGCACCUUACGAGAAAUCAAAGCCUUUGGGUUCUGGCGGGAGUAUGGCCGCAAGGCUGAAACUUAAAGGGAAUUGACGGAAGGGCACCACCAGGAAGUGGAGCCUGCGUCUUAAUUUUGACUUAAAACGGGGGAA
rnacentral:rRNA from 1 species